UUCUAUUUAAUAUAAUUUAUAUUAUUUAAAUAUUUCAAAUUUAACAUAUUCACUAAGAAUAAUAGAAU
rnacentral:tRNA from 1 species